rnacentral:piRNA from 1 species
ACAGACUUAAGGUACUUUAGACAAGGGAGA